UACGUAGGUGGCAAGCGUUAUCCGGAAUUACUGGGCGUAAAGCGCACGCAGGCGGCGCAGCAAGUUCGACGUGAAAGCUCCCGGCUCAACUGGGAGAGGUCGUUGAAGACUGCUGUGCUUGAGGCAAUGAGAGGGGUGUAGAAUUCCCGGUGUAGUGGUGGAAUGCGUAGAUAUCUGGAGGAAUACCGGUGGCGAAGGCGGCAUCCUGGACCGGCAUUGACGCUGAGGAGCGAAAGCCAGGGGAGCAAACGGG
rnacentral:rRNA from 1 species